UUGCAGGCUGCAACCCGCCUGCAUGAAGUCGGAAUUGCUAGUAAUCGCGGAUCAGCAUGCCGCGGUGAAUACGUUCCCGGGCCUUGUACACACCGCCCGUCACACCAUGGGAGCCGGUAAUACCCGAAGUCAGUAGUCCAACCUCGUGAGGACGCUGCCGAAGGUAGGAUUGGCGACUGGGGUGAAGUCGUAACAAGGUAGC
rnacentral:rRNA from 1 species